rnacentral:sRNA from 1 species
UCGUCGCGAUUUUCGGCUUGAAUAAGAA